rnacentral:rRNA from 1 species
GGGUCUUGGGAUAUUUGGGGUUAAGCGUCCUUGGGUUUGAAUAGUACUAGGCUGGGUGACCUCCCGGGAAGUCCAAACUCAAGAGCUU